CUACGGGCCGCAGCAGUAAGGAAUAUUGCGCAAUGGAGGCAACUCUGACGCAGCCAUGCCGCGUGCAGGAAGAAGGCCUUAUGGGUCGUAAACUGCUUUUAUUUAGGAAUAAACCCCCGAACGUGUUCGGGGCUGAAGGUACUAAACGAAUAAGCACCGGCGUAACUCCGUGCCAGCAGCCGCGGUAAUACGGAGGGUGCAAGCGUUAUCCGGAUGUAUUGGGUUUAAAGGGUGCGCAGGCGGGCUAUUAAGUCAGUGGUGAAAUCCCGGGGCUCAACUCCGGAACUGCCCUUGAUACUGAGAGUCUAGAGUUUGGUUGAAGUGGGCGGAAUGUAGCAUGUAGCGGUGAAAUGCAUAGAUAUGCUACAGAACACCAAUCGCGAAGGCAGCUCACUAAGCCAAAACUGACGCUCAUGCACGAAAGCGUGGGGAUCAAACAGGAUUAGAUACCCCGGUAGUC
rnacentral:rRNA from 1 species